rnacentral:rRNA from 1 species
GACGAACGCUGGCGGCGUGCUUAACACAUGCAAGUCGAACGGAAAGGCCCUGCUUUCGUGGGGUGCUCGAGGGGCGAACGGGGGAGUAUCACGUGAGUAACCUGCUCUAGACUUUGGGAUAACUUCAGGAAACUGGGGCUAAUACAGGAUAGGAGCCCAUGCAGCAUGGUGGGGGUUGGAAAGUUUCGUCGGGUGUGGCUGGACGAGCGGCUGACGGACUUGCUGGUGGGGUAGUGGCUUACCCAGUCUGUGACGGGUAGCCAGCCGGGGAGGGUGAACGGCCACCAUGGGCCUGCGGUACGGCCCAGUCUGCUACGGUGGGCAGCGGUGGGGAAUAUUGCCCAGUGGUCCGACGCCUGUUGCGGCAACGCCGCGUUCGUGAUGACGGCCUUCGGGUUGUAAACCGCUUUCGCCUGUGACGAAGCGUGUGUGACGGUAAUGGGUAAAGAAGCACCGGCUAACUACGUG